rnacentral:rRNA from 1 species
AUGCAAGUCGUACGCUUUAUGUAGCAAUACAUGAAGAGUGGCGUAAGGGAGAGAAAUCCACAGUUAGCUACCCCCAGGACUGGGAUAGCGGCGGGAAACUGCCGGUAAUACCAGAUAAUGUCUUCGGACCAAACGUGUGAAUCGGCCCGGGGAGGCGACUGUGUCCUAUCAGCUAGUUGGCGGUGUAAUAGACCACCAAGGCUAAGACGGGUAUGGGGCGUGAGAGCGUGCCCCCACUCACUGGGACUGAGACACUGCCCAGACACCUACGGGUGGCUGCAGUCGAGAAUCUUCGGCAAUGGGCGCAAGCCUGACCGAGCGACGCCUCGUGCGGGAUGAAGGCCUUCGGGUUGUAAACCGCUGUCGUAGGGGAGGAAGGCUCCGUGCAGAACGGAGUUUGACCGAUCCUAGGAGGAAGGGCCGGCUAAUCUCGUGCCAGCAGCCGCGGUAAUACGAGAGGCCCAAACGUUAUUCGGAAUUACUGGGCUUAAAGAGUUCGUAGGCGGCGCAGAAAGUAGGGUGUGAAAGCCCUCGGCUUAACCGAGGAAUUGCGCCCUAAACUACUGUGCUUGAGGAACCUAGAGGUGAGCAGAACAGAUGGUGGAGCGGUGAAAUGCGUUGAUAUCAUCUGGAAUACCGGAGGCGAAGGCGGCUCACUGGG